CCACCCAAGAGAUCAGUUCUUGGUCAGAGAUUCUGGGAGGGCAGCAGGGAUAAUGUGAACGGCUUUGUGGACCCUGGACUGGCCCUCCAAGAUGCACAGGGGUUUUCUCCAAUGCCAGGCUGAGAAUCAGCUCAGCUUUCUGCAGGCCUUGACCUUCUGGUGUCUGUGGAGGAAAAUGAGGAUGUUGGGAAGACUCAAAAGCAGGAAUGAGUGGGGUUCACUUAAGCUCCAUCUUGGCAAGAAAAGGGCCACGAACCUGGGGACCCAGGGCCUCCAAUGUGUGGAUUCAGCUCUCUGAAGCUCUGCUGGCAGAAUGCUCAGGGGGUGCAGAGCAAAACAGAGAUGGAGGAGUGAGGUCCCGAAAGCAGUUCCUGACUCAGGAUAGAAAAAAGAAUUUAACCACCCCAGGACAGCAGCUCCCCAUCAGAGACAACACCUGGAAGAGGCCAAGUUGACCUGCAGGGUGCAUGGGAACUAACCCUUCAGCCCCAGCUCUGGGACUUGGGCUCUGUCCUUCUUCCUCCCUGCUCCCCUUCACUGGCUUGUGGGUGUCCCAAUGCCAAGAUCUGUACGCAGCAGGUGAGAAGAUGCAAGGGACAGACGAGAUGAAAUUCAUCACCAUCCUGUGCACAUGCAGUGCCACACACCUGAUGAGAGGUACCAGAGAUGGCAGGCAAGGGC